UACGGAGGGCGCGAGCGUUAAUCGGAAUUACUGGGCGUAAAGCGCGCGUAGGCUGUUGUGUAAGUUGGGGGUGAAAUCCCACGGCUCAACCGUGGAACAGCCCUUGAUACUGCGCGACUUGAAUCCGGGAGAGGGUGGCGGAAUUCCAGGUGUAGGAGUGAAAUCCAUAGAUAUCUGGAGGAACAUCAGUGGCGAAGGCGGCCACCUGGACCGGUAUUGACGCUGAGGCGCGAAAGCGUGGGGAGCAAACAGG
rnacentral:rRNA from 1 species